UACGUAGGGCGCAAGCGUUAUCCGGAAUUAUUGGGCGUAAAGAGCUCGUAGGCGGUUUGUCGCGUCGGCUGUGAAAACUCGGGGCUCAACCCCGAGCCUGCAGUCGAUACGGGCAAACUCGAGUGUGGUAGGGGAGACUGGAAUUCCUGGUGUAGCGGUGAAAUGCGCAGAUAUCAGGAGGAACACCGGCGGCGAAGGCGGGUCUCUGGGCCAUAACUGACGCUGAGGAGCGAAAGCGUGGGGAGCGAACCGG
rnacentral:rRNA from 1 species